GACGAACGCUGGCGGCGUGCUUAACACAUGCAAGUCGAACGGAAAGGCCCUGCUUGCAGGGUACUCGAGUGGCGAACGGGUGAGUAACACGUGGGUGAUCUGCCCUGCACUUCGGGAUAAGCCUGGGAAACUGGGUCUAAUACCGGAUAGGAGCCAUUUUUAGUGUGAUGGUUGGAAAGUUUUUUUCGGUGUAGGAUGAGCUCGCGGCCUAUCAGCUUGUUGGUGGGGUAAUGGCCUACCAAGGCGGCGACGGGUAGCCGGCCUGAGAGGGUGGACGGCCACAUUGGGACUGAGAUACGGCCCAGACUCCUACGGGAGGCAGCAGUGGGGAAUAUUGCACAAUGGGCGCAAGCCUGAUGCAGCGACGCCGCGGGGGGGAUGACGGCCUUCGGGUUGUAAACUCCUUUCGCUAGGGACGAAGCUUUUUGUGACGGUACCUAGAUAAGAAGCACCGGCUAACUACGUG
rnacentral:rRNA from 1 species